UUCCGAAGUGGCAGAGUGGUAACGCUGGCGACUUUGAUUCAUCAGGUCAUGGGUUCGAGGCCCACCACGGUCUAAG